GCAUCCAUGGCUGAAUGGUUAAAGCGCCCAACUCAUAAUUGGCGAACUCGCGGGUUCAAUUCCUUGCUG
rnacentral:tRNA from 1 species